rnacentral:lncRNA from 1 species
AUGGGGGUCAAAAUGGAUCCAGGUCAGUGCAGUUGUUUGGUGCAUGUGGAAAAUGACUUCUGUGUACAUUAUCCUGUGAUGAAAGAAGAAAUCAACUGCAUAGCACUAUUUUACCUCUUUCCAUCAGGAGUCAAACAGAAAGCUGGGUGCUGUGGCCUGGUUCUGGAUAAAAACUUUCAUGGAGUGAUGGGUGUCCCAUAUGCAGAUGCAUUCCAAAUGUGUAAGAUGACAGGAAACUCAGCAGAUUUUCAGAAGAGGAGGAGAAGCUCAAUACAGGUGUUCUUAAUACUCAUAUCCUGA